GGCAGGGAAAGGUGAGACAAGCUGGGCCUCACCUGCCUGUGGGUCCUUUUCUUGCUGCAGGAGCAAAACUCUGGCAGUGAGCAGCCCAGAACAGUCCAGGGAAACCCCUUGACUUCCUGAUGGCUCAGGCCAUUGUGGCCUUAGAAUGAAGCCUGUGGCCCCCUUUUCAAAGCUGAAGCCAUAUUCAAUUGAGCUACAGAAAGCACCAAUGAGAGGUUGAAAAGGGAGGACAAUGUGCUCUGAGUUUCUUGUUCCCUCCCUGCUAAAGGACAGAGGGCAAAGGGAAAACCAUUU